AGAGUUUGAUCCUGGCUCAGGAUUAACGCUGGCGGCGUGCAUGAAACAUGCAAGUCGAGCGCAGCGCAUGCGGGGGUAACCCUUCAUGCGUUCAGCGGCGAACGGGUGAGUAACACGUGAGCAACCUACCCCCAAGUCCGGGAUAGCUCUGAGAAAUCAGGAUUAAUACCGGAUGUGGUCACCGUGAGACAUCUCGUGGUGAGUAAAGGCGCAAGCCGCUAGGGGACGGGCUCGCGGCCUAUUAGCUUGUUGGUGGGGUAACGGCCUACCAAGGCGAUGAUGGGUAGCUGGUCUGAGAGGACGAUCAGCCACACUGGGACUGAGACACGGCCCAGACUCCUACGGGAGGCAGCAGUUAGGAAUCUUCCGCAAUGGGCGAAAGCCUGACGGAGCAACGCCGCGUGGGGGAUGAAGACCUUCGGGUUGUAAACCCCUGUCGGAGGGAAAGGAGCUCUGACGGUACCCUCCAAGAAAGCCCCGGCUAACUACGUGCCAGCAGCCGCGGUAAUACGUAGGGGGCAAGCGUUAUCCGGAUUUACUGGGCGUAAAGCGCGUUAAGGCGGCCGGCUAAGUUGGUGGUGAAAUUUCGGGGCUCAACCCCGAAACUGCCUCCAAUACUGGUCGGCUCGAGUGCGAGAGAGGAAGGUGGAAUUCCCGGUGUAGUAGUGAAAUGCGUAGAUAUCGGGAGGAACACCAGUGGCGAANGCGGCCUUCUGGCUCGCAACUGACGCUGUAGCGCGAAAGCGUGGGGAGCGAACGGGAUUAGAUACCCCGGUAGUCCACGCCCUAAACGAUGUGCACU
rnacentral:rRNA from 1 species